CUCACUCAUCCACUCUCUGUCUCGCUCAGCCGAAUCCCUCGCCUGCGUCGCCGGCGCCUCUCCCUAGCUCGCGUCGCCGGAGCCUCUCCCUCGCCCGCGUCGCCGGAGCCUCUCCCUCGCCCGCGUCGCCGGAGCCUCUCCAUUGGCUCCGUCGUCGUCGCCAAGAUCUAAUUUUUAUUCUCCGGUGGCUGAUUUCGAGUGCGUCGACUCGAUCUGCAACGGCCUUCCUCCACUCCAACGCCGUGCGGACGACGCCAUGGAAGGGCCACCAUGACCAGGAGCAGGACGCCUUGGAAGGUUCACCCACAGCAGCAGCUACGGUCCGGUCUUCUCCACUGACAGGGAUAUGGACAUGGAGGUCCGCCAUGGAAGGCCUGGAGCUCGUCAUGGAGGGUCCCUCCUCCCUCUUCCCCUCCCUCCACUCUGUUGGUUGGUUGGACGGAAGACCACCGCUUGUCCGGCUAUGCUUCUUCUGCCGCUGUUCCCCUCCCACCAUUGUGCCAGAGACGUUGUGCCAAGCACGGAAGAUCAUGUGUCGUUUGUCAAGGAAAUCGCUGUGAUUGAUCCCCCGGAGCAUCUUAUCUUUUUGUUGAAUGUGCUUCAGGCAUGAGGCAUGACUUCACAUAUCUGAGUAAGAGUUUUCAUUUCCAAGGAUUCUUCAGUCGUGCCAACAGACCCUUUGUCAUGCAAGUUGAAAUAAUCUAAUAAUUAUUACAGUUUUAGAUUAGAGAAGAGAAAGAUCCGGAGAUUUUCAUACCUAGAGGAACUCGCCUUCUUGAUGCUCCUUGCUUACAUGAGGACAACUGGGCAUCAAAUUAUAGCUUGUUCCAGUUAUAUCAUAUAUUGCUGUAUGGAGCAGCUCUCCUUCCUUUUUCCAUCAAAAAGAUGUCAAAGAUCAGAACUUACUAAAACAUUAAAUUAUCGUAUUAAUUAAAUGAAGAACUUAUCAUCGCUUAUACGCCAAGAUUAAUUACCACAAUAAGGAAUUCACGGCGUACACACUAACAUCUCUACUAUUAAAGUGGUAACGGUGAACAGAUAACAAAGUUUUUUGUUCACUUAUUUCUCACUGAAAAAUAAUGCUUUGGUCUUUCCUGUUACUGAUUUGGUCCACAUGCACUUUUUUCCGGUGCUUAGCUCUUCUUGUAUGCUUUAAUAGUUUUUACAAAUACUAAAUUCCAUAUAUUGGAAGUUAUGUACAGUCUCGAUACACUAUUUGCAGGCCUAAUAUAUGGGAGUUCGAACAAGUUGGAUGAAUUUCUCCAUUCCAGUUUCUCUAUGUUUACCCAAUGCCAAAGGCAGUAACCAGUAAAUAACUUACGGCGACAGUAUAAUACAUAUAUGUACAGCCAAACAUGUUGCCUUCUCAGUCGGCUGGAGCUUCAUGUGGGUUAUUUUAUUUGGAAUCCUAUUUGCCGGGGUCGGAUCAUAUGCAGUGCACAAAUACAGUCUACAGUCUACAGGGUUCCGUAAAAUGGCAGCGGGUAGAGUUCUUGUCCUGCACAAAGGAAGGUUACUUCGGUAGAACGUCAGAAAAAUUAUAGCCGGGGUUAGGAUACCUCUCAAGAAGCAACGGCAUGGCUUGACACAGUAUAUGCCUCGGUAGGACACAAGAACAGUCAGGAACAUGUACUAAUCGGACGAACAGUUGGGCCUAUGUCACACCAGUCUCUUCCCGCAUUAGUUCUUCCAGAAGUAAACUGUGUAUAGGUUACUAACCUGUGGCUCGCUCGCAGCCGCGCCGGGACCCGUGUCUCGCUCGCAGCCGCGCCGGAACCUGUGGAUCGCUGGCACCCGUGGCUCCCUGGCAGCCGCGCCGGCACCGGGGGCAAAGUUUGAAGAAUCUGGCCUCGCACACCUGAUCCGACGGCAAACUUUGAAGAAACAAUUCAAAUCCACAUGAUCCGAAUGCAAACCUGGAAGCGUGGAGAAUCAGGCCUUGCCCGCCCCGAUCGGAAGAUAGGAUUUGAAAAUUGUUUGUUGUCUAUGGAAAGAGUAAAAAUAUUUGAUUAAACUGUUGUUUAUGGAAGCUUCUUGUGACGGGAUUUUUCGAUAUGAUUCCAUAUGAAUUGAUUUGAUUGGUGUCGUAAAUGGAAGGAAAGGA